UAGGGAAUCUUCCACAAUGGACGCAAGUCUGAUGGAGCAACGCCGCGUGAGUGAAGAAGGUUUUCGGAUCGUAAAGCUCUGUUGUUGGUGAAGAAGGAUAGAGGCAGUAACUGGUCUUUAUUUGACGGUAAUCAACCAGAAAGUCACGGCUAACUACGUGCCAGCACCCGCGGUAAUACGUAGGUGGCAAGCGUUGUCCGGAUUUAUUGGGCGUAAAGCGAGCGCAGGCGGAAUGAUAAGUCUGAUGUGAAAGCCCACGGCUCAACCGUGGAACUGCAUCGGAAACUGUCAUUCUUGAGUGCAGAAGAGGAGAGUGGAAUUCCAUGUGUAGCGGUGGAAUGCGUAGAUAUAUGGAAGAACACCAGUGGCGAAGGCGGCUCUCUGGUCUGCAACUGACGCUGAGGCUCGAAAGCAUGGGUAGCGAACAGG
rnacentral:rRNA from 1 species